UGCCUUUGUCACGCAGUUUUUGUGGUCCAACUCAGAACAUACAUACACACGUAUGUACAUAUAUGAUAUGUAAUAUUAAUAUGUAUACCCUGUGCAGUGUACACCCCAUAGCGGGUGGUCUGCCUGGACUGAAGUCAUUUAAUUGAUUCAUUGUGCAGCGAUGAAAAUAGUGGAACGCACUCGCAAGCUCUCCAAAGGCAGAGCUUUGACCUGGCAGUAGUCAUAAGGACAUCGAGAUGAGUGGAGUAGUUGCUGAAGAAUUGGCGUCAACCUUGUGCUUAUCCGGAGCCUUCAAGGAUGUUUCCAAUCCAGCCUGGCCGUAUUACAGCAACAGAAGUGGUGCUGUGGUCCGCCGUUUAUUCCUGCAUGAGGACGCAUGAGUGCAUGAGUGCACAGUGCGCAAAUGAGGGCCUGAAGACUCGGCGACAGCCUCUGGUGAUUGCGAUGGAAGAUGAGUAACCAAAGGUAAAGAAACGUGCAGAGUCUUUAAGAAUGCUGUAAAAUGGAUUAGGCAUUAAUGUGUCAUUACUAUGGAAUUUAUCAAAUUGUAUUGUACAGUGGGUGAAAUGACCAAUCUAGUAGAAGAAAACCUAUUUUGUGAAUGCAGAAUUCCUCCAAGAGAUUUUGGUUUUUUGUUUGGCUAUCGAACCUAACAUAUGGUUCGCAAGUGGCAGGAAGAAGUGUUUUCUCCGUCGUCAUUUAAAAUAAAUUUAAGGACCAGGAAUACCAGGCAAUUCGAACAAGUGAUACCCCAAUGCGGUAUCCUGGUCUGCACAGGGACAAUAAUUAAUCUUAACAUUGUUUUUGGUAUGACUUAGUUGUGGAUUUAUUUAAAAACUUAGCAAAACUUUUUUUUUUUUUAUUCUUAAUUACAAGUUUUUUUUUUUAAUAUUCUUCUUCUUUUUCAAAAAACUUCUACAUCUUUCUGUAAGGCCAGACUUAAGUUCUAUUCAAUAGCUUAGGAGCUAGAUGUUCUCUGUGUACCCACUAUACAUACAAAUACAUGUAGGGUUAGCAGCCAUUUAACCACCUGAUGAGUACCGAUCUGUGGUUAUGGAUAGUCGAUAUAUCGAUAGUGGUAGUAAGAUAGUAAGAGUUCGACCUCGGAAGAAGGAACUUAUUAGUAACCUAUUUGAAACCAGGAAUAAAUAUUAUACCUGAUAACUCAAUACAACGACAUGUGGCGUGUUUGUUUAAGGAGUUUCUGGAGCGGAUUACUACUGACUUGUAGUAAGCUCACU